rnacentral:ncRNA from 2 species
GAUAGGGCGGGUGAUGGAACCCACCCGGGGCGACGCUCCGAACUGCGACCGCUGAUGGCUCCUACGACGAC